CACAGCAGCUGUCCCAGAGCAGUCACUCCGUACCACAGAUGGCAGAGGGAUUUUGGUCCCUUUGCUUAUUCAUUCUCCUAACAUUCAGGUGGUGGCUUUGGCAAGAGCCUCUUUGACCAGGCAAAUUCCCAGCCUGGUCACUUGACCGGAGCCACACUGUCUGAAAUAAUCUUUAUUGAUCCUAUUUCCCAUCUAGUCUAUUUUGUGGGAGGUAGAAAGUUGUGUUUUUUUUCCCCCAGAGCUAAGCUCUCUCUUAAGGGUGUGCUUGAUGGAGAAUCAACCAAUGAGAGUUGCUCCACGUUUAUCAUCAGUGUUCUCCUCCAACCCCUCCACCUUCUCCAGCACCCCCCUCCUUUGUUGCACUUGAUCAAGUACACGUGUUUCAUCUUCAAAAUAAAAAUUUAUUCAAUCUGUAACAAGAACAUUGGAUCUGCACAUUUGCGCACAAGUUCACAUUUAAAAACAGCGGAGCACAUCAGUAAUAAAAAAAUCUAUGAUACAAGUGGAACAUCCCAACCACCAGGAAGAUUAAGGAAGGAGAUGAGACCACUCUUUAUAUUCUGCUUCAAAUGCCUCAAAAAGGUCCCAGAGAUUCCAGGGAGCACCUGCUUUUAAUAAAAUGCGAGCAUAAAAGUUUGGGGUGGCCUGGGGUAAAGGUAACAGUCAGUGGGAGAGUCUUUUGGACUUGCUUUCCACAUUUAGAACAAGUCUUACAAAAUAAAGUAGAAAGAAAGAAAGAAAAAAGGCACCUUAAGCUAUGCCAAGCAAACCAAAAUCCAGUAAAACAUAAAAACCAAACAAUUCCCUGUGGGCUUACUGGCUGGGAAACAUUUCAGGGCCGGUUCCCCAGUUUUCAGGUUGGGUCAUCAGCUCAAGUUAAGCCCUGGGUAUAAGCUCUGCAUGUGUAUACAGGAUGCUGGUUCUCUUUCCACAGGAGGAGCCAGGCCCAGUCACCCUCCACUUUCGGGCUGGAAAAGUACUGAAGCACCUUGCAGUCACUCUCCAUGGCAUCAAAGGACCCCAGCCCGGCGAGAAGGGUUAGGAGUGUGCAGCUUCCUGCUUUUUCCUAACACAGGUGUCGGAUGAGUUGAGGCAGCAAAUACAUUUAUGCCUAACACAUGCCUGAUCUUUUAGUUUGGAAGGGAAAACAAAGUCCAAGAUAUUUUUAAGUUGGAUUGGUGCUGAAAGAGCUAAAAUUUCAUCUCAUCCACCAUCAAAAAGCAAAACAAAAUGAAACAAAAACGACACUAGCCAUUCACCAUUACGACCAUCACUAUAAGACACGCCAUCACUGAGAAAAUGACAACUAUUUCCAUACAGAGUGUUGGAUGGGAGUGCAGGACACAGAUGGAAGUCAGCUCCAGGUUUCCCCAUUGACCCAUGAGGGCUGACCGCUAUGGCCAUGCUCUGUGUGAGGACUCACGGGACAGCCAGGGCUGGGUGCCUGGAAGAGGAGGAGAUUGAGCGGCCAUCAAGAUGAUGCACGUUUUAAUACCCACAAUGUAAACACAGUAUCCACAAAUAGUUGUCCAAAAAGCCAAAGAAUGGCUUUAUUUAAAAAUUUUGAAAUGCCCUUAAAAGUGACUUUUGCAUAAUGCUUUCUUUCUUAAAAGAAAAAAAGAGAAACAACUCCCACAAAAACAUCUUUACCAAACAUGUCUAGAUCACUUCAGAACUGAGAUCCUCAGAUGGAACAGGUGAACGUUUCUGUGAGCUGCUACGUCUCAGAAGCUUCAUGUCUAUCCAACAGUAUUUGUCUAGGGCCCUUUAGCAGGAAGGGACCUCCGAGCCUAGGCUGUCAACCUCAGGCUGUUCUUGGAGCUCUUAGUAGUUCCCAAAAUGAGAAAGAGGAAAUACCAGUUGGGAUAAAGGUACAGAACCAGGAAAAUGCUAGAUAAAGAGCCUGAAGAGGCUGAGAUGCUAGGAAUGAUCCCAAACAUUCAGAAUCUGAAAGGCAACCAAAAUGAGGAGAGACGAAUGUUACUACACUACAGUACUACCUUUCUACUAUAGUAUACACUACUUCCUAAGUGUUUCUAAAAUCAGGAAACGGUUGGGGUUUCUCUCCUUCCUACAGACCAGGUAACCAUGCAGAUUACAGCUCAAAAUCUGUGUGCUCCUGGGGCUUUUACCCCAUGCACCAAAAUGUUACUCUUUUUACACACACACACACACACCCCUCCAGAGAAAUUUAGAGUCAACUAUGAUGGUUUUCAAAAUAAAGCUAAAGAGAGGCACUGAGUAAGAGGUCAAGACUUUUUCUAUUCAUCUAUUAGACUUUUCCUUUUCAUCUCUGUUAAUCGACUAGACCUGCUGUUCUGGGUCUGGGUUUUCCAUGAACAGAAAUGGGAAAUAGGCCACCCAAGAUUAUCAAAAAGUUUGGAGAGAAGAAAGUCUGGAAAGUCCUUGACAGCUCGUCAUGCACUUUCUCUGGACAUCUCUCUGCUAUGUAAGUAACACAGACCACUCAGCUGUGGGAGUCUGAGAGGGCUGGCAAAACCCCAUGGCAUGGCUGAAUUACAGACCCUGUGUAGAGGAUGUUUAUUUAGGCAGGAAAAUAAAUUAUUAAAAAAGAAAAGAAAAGAAAAGAAAGUUAAAAAAAAAAAAAAAGGCAGAACCAAGACCAUUUACUCUUAAAAAAAAAGUUUUUCUUCACAGCAUUAGAGGGUUUCCUCCCCACCUUUGUUGUUAUUUAAUGCAGUGAGAGUGAGCAUUAAACACAGUCACAGGGGAGAGAGAGAACAGUGCAAGCCUGUUGAUCCUGCUCG
rnacentral:lncRNA from 1 species